rnacentral:rRNA from 1 species
AGCGAACGUUAGCGGCGGGCCUAACACAUGCAAGUCGAGCGAGAAAGGGGCUUCGGCCCUGAGUAAAGCGGCGGACGGGUGAGUAACACGUAGGUAAUCUUCCCUUGAGCGGGGGACAACGGUCCGAAAGGACCGCUAAUACCGCAUACGUUCCCAGUGACCCUGGUCGCUGGGAGAAAGCUAGGCCGCAAGGUCCGGCACUCGAGGAGGAGCCUGCGUCGCAUCAGCUAGUUGGUGGGGUAACGGCCUACCAAGGCGAAGACGCGUAGCUGGUCUGAGAGGAUGAUCAGCCACACUGGGACUGAGACACGGCCCAGACUCCUACGGGAGGCAGCAGUGGGGAAUAUUGGACAAUGGGCGCAAGCCUGAUCCAGCCACGCCGCGUGAGUGAUGAAGGCCUUCGGGUCGUAAAGCUCUGUGGGGAGGGACGAACCGCUGCAGGUUCAUAUCCUGCAGCAUGACGGUACCUCCUUAGCAAGCACCGGCUAACUUCGUGC